UUCUUAGGUUUAGGAGGUUCUCCAAACGUUUCAUCACAAGCCAAGUGUGUUGCCAACGAUUGCUAUCCUUUUUGUAGUCAUACUAACAGUUCCGU
rnacentral:misc_RNA from 1 species